GGAAGAGCAUAGGCAUGUUUGGAAUUAGGUAGAAUGAUUCCAUUUUGUAAAAGACUACAUGUGUGUGUAGGAAAAAUUUUGAAAGUAACACUUCAUGGGAAUUUAUGAUAUUCUGACUGCGCCCCUGACUGUUUUGUCUUAACCUGAUAUUUACUUCCUGGAAAACUACAAAAGUACAAAACCUGGAUCCACAUUAGAUUAUUAAAAGAGACUAUCCCUUUCUAUCUUUGCUGAGUUCUGAUGCCUUUAAGAAUGAUUUUUCUCCAGGUUUUCUUCUAGUUUAAAAAAAAAUUAAGUUUAUUUAAUUUGGGAGAGAGAGAGCAUGAACAGGGGAGGGGCAGAGAGGGAGAGACAGAAUCCCAAGCAGGCUCUGUGCUCAAAUCCACAAACCAUGAGACCUGUGCCAAAACCAAGAGUCCGACACUCAAGUGACUGAGCCACCCAGGCGUCCCUGCAAUUCUUGCUAUCAGCAAUAUAUACUUGCAUUAUCAUGUUUUUUUUUUUUUUUUAAAUUAAAAAAAAUUUUUUUAAGUAGCCUCCACACCCAACGUGGGGCUUGAAUUCAUGACCCUUAGAUGGAGAGUUGCGUACUCUUCCCACUGAGCCAGCCAGGUACUCCUCAUCUUGAGUGAAAUUUAACUACUUCACUUUGGUAAAUUCCCUAACAAAUUGGUAGAUUAUUCUCCCCCACUCCCAGGAUAUAUAUGUAUAAAGAACAUGCUGUGUGUGUGUGUGUGUGUGUGUGUAGCUUUAUUGAGGUAUAACUGACCUGCAAUAAACUGUACAUAUCUAAAGUGUACAAUUCGAUGAAUUUUGACAUAGGUAUAUACCGAUGAAACACUUGGUGCAAUCAGUGUAUUGACCACAUCCACUAUCACUACAGGUUUCCUGUGCUCCUGUGUGAUCCCUCCCUCCCUCCUUUAUUCUCUCUUUCCCUUCUCGUUGGCCCCUUCCCUACAUUUUCUAGAAUUUCAUAAUGGAAUCAUGGAGUGUAUACUCUUCUUUUGGUCUGAUUUCUUUCACUCUGCAGCAUUAUUUCAUCCCUGUGUCUGAGACAUUCAUUUUUUUUUUUCUUUCUUUUUUAGUCUGUUAAUAUGGUGAAUAACCUUGAUUGAUUUUCUGGUGUUAAAACCAACCUUUCCUUCCUGUGAUAAACUCCACUUGGAGUUUGUACCAAGUAAAACUUGGGUGAAGUAUUACCCUUUUUAUGUAUUGUUGGACUCAAUUUGCUAAAAUUUCAAUAAUUUUUUGUAUCAGUGUUCAUGAAGGAUAUCAGGCUAUGGUUUUCUUGUUAUGUCUUUGGCUUAAUAUGAGAUGGAAAGCGUUCUUUCCUCUAGUCUUCUGGAAGAAGUUGUGUAGAGUUAGUAUUAUUUCUUCCUUACAUGCUUGGUAGAAUUUACCGGUAAUACCUCUUUAGCUGUUUUUAUUUUAUAUCUAACUUUUUUCCUACCUAGUCUGGUAUCCUGAGGCAAGAACAUGAUGAUGCUCUAAAUGAUAUAAUAGUUUCUUGUGUAUUUUAGGAUUUAUAUUAUAUUUAAACAUAAUUUAUGUAGAAUGUCAAUAGUAAUUAUCUUUGUGGAAUAAACAUUAAAAAAAAACCCA